AGUGAAGAGGGAACGAACCAAGCCCACAUCACAACUUGCAGGAAGCAAAACAGAAAAAGAGAGAAACUGGAAAGACGUGUUAAAAGUUUAGACAAAAAGCCAAACUGGAGCGAGGCAACAAAAGCCAAAGUGGCUGAAGUGCUGACUAUUGAUUAUAUGUCCAGCGAGGAAAGUGGAGAAGAGGAAGAUGAAAAUGGCAAUCAAAGAAGAGUCUAUGUCGUUCGGCCACUGCCAUGGGAGAGUGUGGAGUUGAAACGGAAAAGCAGUCUUUACACAAAUAUCAUAUUUCCACUCUUCCACAACUCGUGCGAGGACGAAUUUCUCCGCGAGAAAAAGGAAAUCCCUCUACAAGGCCCAAACCAGACGGAUGCCCUGAAUGGGCCUCUAAUUCUCAGUUAUCCCGUAUUUCUCGUAAAUAAGUAGUAAUUAUAAUUUAGUUUUCUUUUUUUUCCUUCAUAUAUAUACAGAUAUAAAGAUAUACAUAAUAAGUACAAUAAGAAAAGAACCAGCAGAGCAGGCAAUUACUAAUUGUAGUUAAUAAUUAUGAAUAGAUAUAUUUUACCAUCACAAAGCAGUAAGGUCGAGUCAUCUCCUUUAUCAUAAUCAUUGGGAUUGUUUUCGCUGAAAACCACCUGAAAUGGGAAAGAAUAAAAUGAGCAGCAACAGAGGCCGUAUUCUUUACUAUAUAAAAAAAGAUAUAAAUAAAUAAUUAUUUGAAAAAUAAAAUGAAAAUAUUCAAGAAAUAAAACAUUCACAGAACCCCAUUUAAAAAUCCCCAUCAAAUUGUACUAUUCUACAAUAUCCACGCCAAGGCAUAAUACAGACAUGCCAGUCCUUCUGCGUGCAAAACUAACCGUUGUGUUUGACACCCACCAGUCCAGGCCAGUCCCUCCGGAUGCAAACUCAGCGUUGUGCUUGACACCCUCUGGUCCAGGCAUGCUGCAGACAUGCCAGUACCUCCGGGUGCAAACCCAGCAUUGUGCUCAACACCCUCCAGUCCAGCCCAGCACCUCCGGGUACAAACAUGGCUAUGUGCUUGACACCCUUCGGUCCAGGCAUGCUGCAGACAUGCCAGUCCCUCAGGGUGCCAUACUUCAACGGCCAUUUUCCAGUCCCAAAGGAUGCCCUUAACUUAUGCUCACACCUUGAGGUUCAAGCAUUCAAAGAUGAUGCCAUCCUCACCAAGUGAUUAAAAAAGUAAAGAAAACUCAACCCUGAAACUGCAUAAGUACAAAAGCACUUACCUAUUCCUCUUCACUGUCAGGAACAUAAUACGGCUGUUGAA